ACUCCUUCUUGGCCUCUUAGCUAGAAUUAAGUGUAGUAUCUGCUCUAGUUAUCUAAAUAUAUGAUAUGUCUACUAUUCAGAACAACACUUUAAAUAGGUUGUUGGAGCUGAGAGUAGGAACGGUGGACUAAGGGGCUUGUUCCAUCACUCCAUGAAUGAAGUGCAGUGUUUCUACAAAUAGUACAUCUUUC